UGGACAGCAACUUAAUAGUCUACAAAUUAAUGCAACUUUAUUGUCACAAUACUUUGAAUACUUUUAUAGUAACAGUAAAAUUUUCAAUAAUUUUAUAGUAAAAGAAGAGACACAAAGGAAAAUAGUUUCCCUGUACAGUGAAUUUUCAUACACUAUAUGGAGACUUCCCACAUCUGUUGGGCUCAAGAGAUAGCUAAUGUAUUUUACUCACUUUUUAAAAUAACUUUUAAAAGUUACUUCAAAUAGUAACUGGGAAAUUAGGACCGAUUCUUGGCACAAAGGAGAGAUCAAAAAAAUUUGGUUUCCUGGCACAGUUUUGACAAGGGCAUCAAGCAACAAUAGUUGGAUUCAGGUCACACACUUCCUUUGCACGAGGAUAGCAGCCAUUACGCCUCUCACUUCUACACACACAGGAAAUGGCACACCAAAACCACCUUUAAAGGACUGCAAAGGGUUAUGAAUUCUAAAUAAUUCUCUCAUCUUAACACUUCUGUUUUUCAUUUUGUAAGUAUAACCAAAGCCCAUGGAAACAGGGUGAUGACUGGGUAAAGGUGAUCAGAACUCCUCGAGAAUUCCAUCAGCCACCCAGUACUCAACAGCAGAAGCUCAGAAGACUCUCUAAACACGGAGAAAUGGAAAGUCCCGUCCUGCUGCCAUGUGCCCAGUUAGGACUGAAUGCUCUUGUGUGGUGAGAGAUAAACCACAGAACCACUCUACCAAAAGAUAGGGGGAAUAACAUCAGUGAGAGAGAGAGAGAGAAGCCUCAUGUAGCAAACCAACCUGAGUUAUCAGCUCUUCUCAGACCACCCAGGCAGUUUUUGAAUGUCCCAAGCUAGGGGGAAGAGGAAAAAAAAAAACAAACUAGGAGAUGGUGGAAAAAAAUUAAAGGGUAAAAUGAGGCAGGGGAGAAGGGUGGAGGCUGGCUUUGGAGUCUGGAAUCAGGCCAUAAUCCUCCUUGUUUUAUCUAAAGUCCAGGAGUUGUCCAGGAAGCUCGGGAAUAGCUAUUUGCUUUAACUCUUAAAAUAAACUUACUCAUCCUGGUUUAUCAGCUCCUUGUGUUUUCCUUGUGCCCAUAAAUACAACCCCAUUCCAAUUCUAUUUGGCUAAUAAUUUAUAGAACAUUUAAAAUACCAGGUAGGUGAAAAUCUUUUCAUGGCUUUUGUGCAAGGGAAGAGAAGCAAAACUGAUUUGAGAUUCCUACCCGGUGCCCUCUCCAGGGAAACUGACAACUAGAGAAGUCCGCUGCUAGGAUUUCUAGAACAUCUGGAAAUUCCCUUAUUGUUCUUUCUCAACAACAUAAAAUACCAUAUCUGCAAAUGUAUUUGAAUCAUCUCCAUCGAACCCACUUUAAAAAAUUCAUUUAAAAAUUAAUCACAUAUUUAACUAAUUACCCAAUUUGCAAACAAACCCUUGCUACCUCUGAUGGUGGCUCCAACGUAAUUUUCUUCACUCUGUGUGACUUGAAAGUGGAGCAAAGGUGUGUCGGCAAGGCCAGUGUUCCUACGCUGGCAAAGACAGGUUAAGACAUACUGGCUGCCUUCACUUACCCCCAGCCUUGCCAAAGCUGAGCUGGAUGCUUGACAGGAAGGGAGAGGCCCAACCCAAGCAUUCACUUCCCCAACCCAGUGCAUCCAUGGGUUUGCAGGAGUGUGAAAAGGAACAGAGGAAGGCACACAGCCCAGCUGAAGUGACAUCUGACCAAAGUAUUCCAAUGAAAUUCAUAAAAAUGGACUAGACCAUCCAUUGCACCAAUUCUGUGCUUCUUACAGGCAGUGGCUACCAUACGAGGCGGGCCCAGUGAAAAGUCUGAGUUCACAUGAGCCAGGGGCUCCACCGACUGUGCUCCGCAGCCCCAGUGCCCAAUCCUCUCGCUCUGGGUGGAAUGCGAGGCAGUGGAGUGCAGAUGCCAGCUGCCACGUCCCAGCCUGGUCGACAGUGGUGAGACAGCCUGGCCCUCCUGUGACAGGGCCAUGGGCCCCUCCCUACAGGCCAAGAGGGCAAAUGACAGCCAGUCUUUUUCUUUCUUGCAGCUUCUUCUAAUUGAAAUACCAAGGGAUAUUGACUUCCGGCCUCAGAAGUAUGACUUACAGGGCAUAUUUUGCCUCUUUGGUGCAGAGGUGGUCUUGAAAUCUUGCCAGCAUGGCCCUCCCUUAGCCCAUGCCACCCCGAGAAGCCAGCAUGCUGAGAUGCAUAAGGCAACAGUAUGGAAUUUCAAUCAGAUCUAUUCCCGGCUGACCUUUUAGUUAAGGUCACACUGCCCUGACCUGCUGCAGUAUGGCCUGUGUGAAGACAGUGACUUCUAACACACGGAGGAAGGUAUCUGAGUCCAGAGUGACUGCCGAAUUCCUCCUUAAUCUGUGAUUUGGUGAGGCUCUGUGAGGUAUUUUUCAUGUGUGGAAUAUUGAAAGUAGAGGGAAGCAAUUUUUAAAAAACAGACAAAAGCAGUGUACCUUAUACUGGUUUCUUCAAACGUAAUGCCUUUGCCAAGAAUUGGGCAAGACAGAAACCUAUGAAAUGAAUAUAAUAACUUAUUCUGAAGCAUGCCCUCCCAUGCUGGCUUAGAGAUCUCACACACACAAACACUCCCUUCGUUUAUAAGGAGCUCUCAGUAUGCGAGCAGGACUUCCAAAAAGCCCAUCAUUAAAUAAACUAAAACAGGCUCAAGAAAUGUCCCCACAUGCAAUCCUGAGACUUGCCUCGCAGGAGCGGCUCCGAAGUCACAGACUGGAGAGCUCCAGAGAAAAACAGCACAAACAGGUGGGCAAAAAAGUCCUGGUGCCUGCACCAAGCUCUCCCAAAGCACACUUUACUCAGACAGGACAAUUCUCCGCUGGGGCCCCAGCUGCCUUUAGGGGAGUAAGGAUUUGCAGAGGUACAAAGCGCGCUGUCGGUGUACAAGGAGGGAAUGCUCCCUCUCAUUUCAAAUCCUGGCUCUGGCUUACUAAGCAAAUUCUUAGGAUACAGAGCACAUGUUAGAUAGAGCUUCUUUCUUGCCACAAUGCAAUUAAAAUUUGAAACCACACUAUAGAAGAACUGAAGCUCUGGGGUGGAAAGAAGCCUUAAACCAUGCUGUGAUGUGGUGUGAGGGGCAGGAGGUAGGGGGUUUGAGUGCAGAUAUUUUUUCCUGAAAGAAGGGAAAGGGUUGAAUGUAUCAGCAACUGAACCGGCUCUUCAGGGGAUACUGUGAAAUACGUUCAAUGCAAACCUCUCCCUUUGAAGCAUGAACUGGACCCAGAGGGGACAGGAGGUUUGUUCUGUUGCACCAACGUGACCUUGUGUCAUAUGCCACGCAUGUGCUGGAGCGUCUUCCUGAGUAACCUGAUGAGGGUGCAGCAAUGGAGAAAAGCGCUCAGAAGAUACAUGUACCAGACAGGUACUGUCCACCUCCCUGGUAAAGGAAAGUCACCCACGCAUACACGCAGGAACCCGCCCACCCGCCCCUCCUCUUCCUCCGCCCCAAUUCCACACGAGGGGCCACCAGAAGUAACAGGCAGACUCGUCCUUGUGCAGCCGUGGCUCCUCAUCCCGCUG